GGGGGGUGGGGAGAGAGAGAGAGAGAGAGAGAGAGAGAGAGAGAGAGAGAGAGAGAGAGAGAGAGAGAAUCAGGCCCCUUUCUAGAUGGCCUUCUAGGGGCCUGCUGCUCCCACCCUGGCCGUCAGAGCCCAUCUGCCCACUGGCUGAAGCCGGAUCCUCUCCCCACGGUCUCUGCUCAGCUGUUAGCAAAUCUUGGCGUAUGGCAGCCCAAUUGAGAGCUAAGAGGUCUGACCAGAUUUCCCAGGUGACCUCUGAACCUGCUUCCCCUGCUGUUGGGACUUGGGGUGAUGCCUAAGUCUGACCUUUCAGCCCAGCCGGCUGUGAUCGGGAUCUCUGGGAAGAGGUCCUCGUGUUCAGAUGGGUCCUGUAGGAUGCGGUACCUGUCCAGGGACCGGCACAGACAGAGCUAGGGAGCACUACUCUGUAGCAUUUGCCAGUUUUCCUGGCCUCAAUGCUCCUGGGAUGGACAACUUAAACUACCAAUGGGAAGUGAGCUAGCUGCCACAUAGUUCCGGAAAAACUGGAAAGCAGCAUUGCCAAGCAAAGAGGAGAAAGCUUUAGUACUUUCUCUAAGACCCUUUCCAGAGAGAUGGGGAGAGGCAGGGAGUCUAAGGUUUAAGCAGAGAACCCACUGGUUGACAGGGGAGGGAGGAAAGGCAGGCUUCCAGCCCCAUCUUCUAAAUACCCUUCUCCCCCCAAACACCCCAGUGAGAAACUCUCUGAGCUUCAUGGCCCGACUGUUCCUUCAGCUCUAGCUGCUUAACAUCUUGCCCGAGCUCUGUAUCUGGCACAUUAAUGUAGGUGGUGUCCCCUCUCCUGGCCCACUUCCUCUGCCUUUAGAAACAGAUGCCAGAAAUCCAUUCUUACCACCCUGACUCCCCCAGCAAUGGUUGCUAUAGACCAAUAAACCAGAUGUCACACCGAUCUUCCACUAGCUCCCAGGAGGUUCCUUUAUCCUCAGUUUCCCCAUCUGUGAGAUGGGCAGCAAGUGCUAGCCUAGCCAAAGCCCUUUCACUGAUAAGACUCUGAGAUUUCCGUCACUCUUUGUUCCAGCCUCAAUGGUAGCUCCUUUCUCAAACAUGUCCCCAGCCUCUCAGACCCUCCAUGCUGUAGCGGCCCCCCACUGCCUCUGGCUCCCCAGGCUCCCCGAUAAGGGGCCCAACUAAUUACAUUAGGAUUUCAUGCCAAUUAGCAAACAAUUACACGGGCAAAUUGGUGCCUAAUUUGGAGCAAUAACAACAGUUCCAUUGGCUGGGGAGAAAGAUAGCUGCAGAUGAGACUGUUUACCCCACCCUCGCCCUAGAGGACCCCGGGAGGAUGGAGCUUCCCACCCUACCCCGGACCAGUGACUCGGCUCUUCCACUGGGAUCCUUAAGCAACUGUUCAUGGUGGUUACAUGGUCCACCCAGGCCUUCACUAAGAAAGAAAAGAACUAAACAGUUAUGGCGGGCUUCACGGAGGAGGUGGGGAGGCAGGAGGGAAGACGGCCUCGGCGAGGUGAGGGAGAAGACAAUAAUUAAUAUGAGCAAAAGCCUAGGUGUGGAAAUGAGCCAACUGCGGAACACUGUUGAUCAGAGCACAGGAUGGGGUGGGGGCAAGACUUCAGAGGUACAGAGAAACAGAUGGGGACCACUGUUGCAGGACAUUUUCUUGGAGACCUAUGGGAGCCACUGAGGGUUCAAAGAGGGAAGGAAGAGGAGGCUGAGACUCAUCUCGGAUCACCAGCAAUCACGUAGCCCAUCGUCAGAUUCAUGGAGCAUGGGCCAGUCUCCCUUCUUCCCAUCCCUAAGUUUCUCAUUCCUUCAGCCCCCAGACCUAAAUGUGCUUCCAACUACACACCUGAGUGAGGCUGAGUGGGUGCGUUGCAUGCGCGUGUGUGCAUGCAUGCAUAUGCAUGUGCACAUGUGUGAGUGCAUGUGCAUGCAUGUACAUGUGCACCCACACACACAUCAUGAUAUGCAUGUGGCAUGUGGAGGGCAGAGGACAGCUUUCCACCUCAUCAAGGUGGGGGUGGGGCGGGGUCUCUCUUGUUCCUGUUGCUGUGCAUGUACUCCAGGCUCGCUGACCAGUGAGCUUCCAGAAAAUCCCCGUCUCCACCUCUCGUUUACCUAUUAGAGAGCUGGGCUCACAAAUGUGGACUAUGGCAUCAGGCUUUUUAUUAUAGGUUCCGGGAAUCCAAACUCAGGUUGUGGCAAGCACUUUUGCUAAGCCAUUUCCCUGCCCCUCCCUCCCACGCCAAUUCUUACCCAUGUCUCUUCUGAGCCAUCACUUUGGUCCCAGAUCCAACCCUGGUCUUUGGUUUAAAGCCUCCAUGACUCCCUCGUGCUGUCAGAACAGGUUCAAGCGUUUGCUCUCUACACGCCUGACCUCCGCCUGGUCCCUGGGGACUUCCAGCAUCCUCUUUAUCCUUCCUCCCUUGUGCUCCAGGAAUGCCUUGUACAAACUGGGCCAGGCUCAAACCCCUCUUUGCGUCCCGACUGCUCCCUGGGCCCAGGCUGCUUGCCAAUAGCCCUGGCUUGUCAGCAAGUGCGGCUCCCUGGCCCCUCCUCCAGCUCCUCCACAUCCUCCCCAGCUCCAUCCUCCUCUCCUCUGGGCUCACUGUAGAAGCCUUCUUCUGCACCCUGGUCACUUGUAGCCAAGCUGUGUGCAUUGGGCUCUCCAAGUCCCAGGAGUUGAGCUGUUCAGGGACAAAGUGUGGAGCUGACAGUAUCACCCCUGAAUGACCCAGCAUCGAGGACUGGAGAGGACAAUGAGUGGGUCUCAGAGUGUCCCCCGAGGAUAAUGGGGACACUGAGGCAGAGAUCCAGAGAGAAUGUCACAAGUCAAGUUUCUCUUAGGAAGCAGAGCCAGACAGCUGCAGAGUGGAUGACAGCUCAAGUCCCCGGAAGCUAGGCUCCACCGAUGAAGGGAGUUAAAAACACUUUCCUGGAAGGCCACUGGGCAGCUGAUGUUCCGGGGAAACGUUGCUAGAAAUACAUACAGGCUGGGGAGAUGGCGAUCAGUAAAGUGCUUGGUGCGCAAGCACAAAGAUCUGAGUUCGAUACCCAAGCAUGCACUGUGAGAAGCUUGAUGCAGCAGUAUAUGCCUGUAUUCUCAAAAGAAAGGAAGCAAGCCAGCAAGCCAGCAAGCCGAGCGUGGUGGCACAUGCCACCCAGCACCCGGGAGGCAGAGGCAGGCAGAUUUCUGAGUUCAAGGCCAGCCUGGUCUACAAAGUAAGUUCCAGGACAGCCAGGGCUACACAGAGAAACCCUGUCUCGAAGAAAAAAAAAAAAGUAGAAAAAUAAAAUUAGAAGAAAAAAAUAAGAUAAAGGGCUGAGCUGGAGAGACGACACAACAGUUAAAAAAGCACCGACUGCUCUUCCAGAGGACCCAGGUUCAAAUCCCAGCACCCAUGGUAGCUCACAAUUGUCUGUUUCUCCAAGAUCUGAUACAGAUCCCUCACUCAGACAUGCAGGCAAAACACCAGUGCACAUGAAAAAUAAAUAAAUUUGAAAAUAUA